AUUGAACGCUGGCGGCAGGCCUAACACAUGCAAGUCGAGCGGAUGAAGGGAGCUUGCUCCUGGAUUCAGCGGCGGACGGGUGAGUAAUGCCUAGGAAUCUGCCUGGUAGUGGGGGAUAACGUCCGGAAACGGGCGCUAAUACCGCAUACGUCCUGAGGGAGAAAGUGGGGGAUCUUCGGACCUCACGCUAUCAGAUGAGCCUAGGUCGGAUUAGCUAGUUGGUGGGGUAAAGGCCUACCAAGGCGACGAUCCGUAACUGGUCUGAGAGGAUGAUCAGUCACACGGGAACUGAGACACGGUCCAGACUCCUACGGGAGGCAGCAGUGGGGAAUAUUGGACCAUGGGCGAAAGCCUGAUCCAGGCAUGCCGCGUGUGUGAAGAAGGUCUUCGGAUUGUAAAGCACUUUAAGUUGGGAGGAAGGGCAGUAAGUUAAUACCUUGCUGUUUUGACGUUACCAACAGAAUAAGCACCGGCUAACUUCGUG
rnacentral:rRNA from 1 species